UUACCUCUGACGAAUAUCGUGAACGUUG
rnacentral:ncRNA from 1 species